rnacentral:rRNA from 1 species
CCUACGGGUGGCAGCAGUGAGGAAUAUUGGUCAAUGGGCGCUAGCCUGAACCAGCCAAGUAGCGUGAAGGAUGACGGCCCUACGGGUCGUAAACUUCUUUUACACGGGGAUAAAGUGCAGUACUUAUACUGCUCUGCAUGUACCUUACGAAUAAGGGUCGGCUAAAUCCGUGCCAGCAGCCGCGGUAAUACGGAGGGCCCGAGCGUUAUCCGGAUUUAUUGGGUUUAAAGGGAGCGUAGGCGGGUUGUUAAGUCAGUUGUGAAAGUGUGCGGCUCAACCGGAACAUUGCAGUUGAUACUGGAAUCCUUGAGUUCAGUAGAGGUAGGCGGAAUUCGUGGUGUAGCGGUGAAAUGCAUAGAUAUCACGAAGAACCCCGAUUGCGAAGGCAGCCUGCUGGGCUGUAACUGACGCUGAUGCUCGAAGGUGUGGGUAUCAAACAGGAUUAGAUACCCGUGUAGUC